UGGCACACCAGUAGACCUUUUCUGACUCGUCUAUAGUUAUUAAGGGGGGACAGUGUGUUGCAAGAGUAAAUAUGGAGCUCUAUACCAGAUACAACCAGGUCCAGGAUCAGUAGAUUGUUGAAUGGUAUUGCUCUCACAUUG